AAAUGAACACGAAACCAAAUAUCGUUUAAAUAUUCCGGUCGACAUUUCAGGCAAAUGACUGAAUCAUGCCAAGAAAGAAACAACUGGAAUAUUCUGUUACCAAAACUGAGAAGGAGUUGUGAGCCAAUUGAUUUUACCAGAUAUUCCUGCCAAGCGACUUCUAAAUCAUCGGAGGCCUGGAGUCCGGCAGCCAGUGUCAUCAUCACAAUUACGACGGCGAAGAUUGAACGUAAUUUCAUCUUCCUCAGAUCGCGAGCAGUUCCGCCGGCCUUCUUGCAUUUGCAAAUUUAACCACUGCGGACUGCGGUGGCAUACAAGCUCCUUUAGUAUCUGAUAAACUGUUCCGAAUCAUCUUGUUCGGUCAUUUUCCAAUCGUCUGUCGCCAUCACUUCGCUGGAGAAACUAUGGAAGAAUUCGACCGCAUAGUUCCUCAAAUGAAACGCUGGAUGCCAUUCAUGGAUAUUUAUCCGCAAAUAUUCCAGCGGACAUUUUCCCCAUCACGUUGACUCCGACACUUUUCCCGUGUAAAGGAAACGGAGGAUUUCAUUAAACUCGGCUCCACGUCUUCAAUUUCGACUUGGUGAGUUAAAUUUUCUUUUGUUAGGGGCCGAAACAUUGCGGCAAAAUAUUUACUCGUGGCUAAGAUGCUUUUGUGGGCUUUAAAUUGACAUCCACGGACGUUAAUACUGACGUCGGAAGAUUUCAUAGUUUCAAAGAUUUUUUCCAGUUCGCCAAUUAGUUGAUCACUGUUGCUGAUUGGUUUCUCAUGGAAAUCGUCCUCUGAAGACAACUUGCCUGAUAGAUAGUAUAUUAUAGGUUUCUUUGGAAUGAAAGUUUCGAUCGCACAGUAAAUGGUAAGCUUCCGUUCAUUAAACGUACCCAGAAUUCAUCAACAACAUUUUCUGGACUCCACUCCUGCGUAGCACCGAUGAUAAUCAUUUUGACGCUUAUUUGAAUUUUAGUUUUUCUUUAAGAAACCUUUUUUUGCUGCCACUCAACUAGAUAACCUUUCUCUUGUGAUGAACAGGCUAAUGACUGCUUUAAUUCUAAUGCAGAAUUAGAUUGAAUUAACUCUGAUCCCUUAAUUUAUUAGUUUCUUUUAACUUGUUAUUUUAAUAUUAUUCAGAGCAUUUAUG